rnacentral:rRNA from 1 species
AUUGAAAGCUGGCGGCAGGCUUAACACAUGCAAGUCGAGAGAGCGGCGGACGGGUGAGUCAUGUCUGGGAAACUGCCUGAUGGAGGGGGAUAACUACUGGAAAUGGUAGCUAAUACCGCAUACCAACUGAUGUGCCCAGAUGGGAUUAGCUAGUAGGUGGGGUAAUGGAUCAUCUAGGCGACGAUCCCUAGCUGGUCGGAGGGGAGGACCCGCCACACUGGAACUGAGACACGGUCCAGACUCCUACGGGAGGCAGCAUUGGGGAAUAUUGCACAAUGGGCUCAAGCCUGAUGCAGCCAUGCCGCGUGUGUAAAGAAGGCCUUCGGGUUGUAAAGCACUUUCAGCGAGGAGGCUUUACUCUCAGAAGAAGCACCGGCUAACUCCGUGCCAGCAGCCGCGGUAAUUC